GAGGGGGACGGGGCGGCCUCGCGGGAGGGAGGACAGUUUCGCGGGUUCGGGCGGCGAGUCUCCCGGAUGCGCCUCAGCUCUGGGGACGCGGUGCAGAAGUGUGAGGGCGCCCGGCUUCCAGGCAGUAAUGGGCGGGUCCCUGCGCGGGAGCGUGGCGGGCGCUGGACUCGACAGCAGAUGUGGAACUGGAGAGCUUGGCGCGCCUUCCGACUUUGUCACACACCUGCGCCGCCAGACUGGGGUCGGGCCCCUCCGCGUUCUGCUCUGGAGUGCCUGGGUCUGGGCCCAGCACCGCGCUUUUAGAAUCUCCUCAGCUGAAUCUGACGCUCAGCAGUGGGUGAAGCGCAGCCCCCUGUUUCAGGCCCCGCCGAGCUGGAAGGAGUGUCAGAGCUGGAGCGCGCGUGGCCGCCUCUGUGUUAGGGUCACCCCGGGGUGGCCAGGGCUCAGGGAGGGUCGUAGUCUGGAUUUUGUCACCCGCACGUCCCCACCCCCCCAGCAGGUCUGGGGUUGGAGAAUCCACGCGGGCUUCAUAAGCUAGAUGCCAGUUAACCGUCGAGAGGGGACGCUCCCUCCUCGUAGGCGUCCACACUGGAGAAGGAAUAAGAUGGGCGAUUGCCUGGGAAGCCUGACAGGGCGGCGGCAGCUGGGAUGCUGGAGAGGACUGGCCCCUUGAGUUACUGAGUCCGAUGAAUGUGCUUGCUCUGCUGGAGGAACCGCGCUCAGGUUACAGUCAUCCCAAUAUGGUUCUGAAGGAUGGAGUCCUCUUCUGUCACCCAGGCUGGAGCGCAGUGGUAUGAUCUCGGCUAACUGCAACCUCAGCCUGCCAGGUUCAAGCAAUUCUUCUGCCUCAGCCUCCCGAGUAGCUGGGAUUACAGGUGCCUGCUGCCAUGAUGAUUAAUUUUACGUGUUAACUUAGCUGGGCUGUGUUGCCCAGAUAGUUGGUUAAACAUUAUUCUGGAUGUUUCUGUGAAGAUGUUUUUGGAUGAGGUUAACAUUUAGAUCGGUGGACUUUGAGUAAAGCAGAUUACCUUUCAUAAUUUGGGUGGGGCUCAUCCAAUCAGUUGAACAUCUGAAGAGACCAAAAGACUGACCUUCUGCAAGCAAAGAAAAAUUCUGCCAACAGACAGCCAUUGGACUUGAACUUCAACAUUGACUCUUCAGUCUAUUGGCCCACCCUGCAAAUUUUGGACUUGCCAGGACUCUAGAAAUGCCAGAUAAUUCCACUUUUGUGGUGACAGAAGAAUCUGGCAAUAAUAGCUACCGUUUACUGAACAACAACUGCACAUCAAGCACUGUGUCAUAUGCUUUAGAGGGAGACAUCAACCUGUUGUGGAAAAGAAUGAUCACUUAAAGUCUUUAGAAAUUCUGAACCAACUCUCUAGCAGGUGAUCCUUGUUGGAAUUUGAGCCCUUAACGCUAUCCAGGACUGGAGGUUGAAGGGACGAUAGAGGGAGCAGGAGGAGAAUGCACAUGGAUUAAGGAGCGAGAAGACAGGUGAACUUCAGCUUUUUUGCUAACAGACAAACUACUGACCCUGACUCAGUGAUGUGCUAGUAAACCAGCUCUUAAAAAAAAAAAAAAAGCCCUAGAUUGCUGAUUUGUAUGUAAUGUUUAUGAAUUUCAGUAGAGAAAAAGACAAUAU